AUAAAAAAAGAGUUUGAUCCUGGCUCAGGAUGAACGCUGGCGGUAUGCUUAACACAUGCAAGUCGUACGAAAACUUUUUUUGCUUGCAGAAAAAGUUUUAGUGGCGAACGGGUGAGUAACGCGUAAGAAUCUGCCCUCAGGAAGGGGAUAACAGUGGGAAACUACUGCUAAUACCCUAUAAGCGCAUGCGUAAAAGCCUUCGGGCACCUGGGGAUGAGCUUGCGUCUGAUUAGCUAGUUGGUGAGGUAAUGGCUUACCAAGGCGAUGAUCAGUAGCUGGUCUGAGAGGAUGAUCAGCCACACUGGGACUGAGACACGGCCCAGACUUCUACGGGAGGCAGCAGUGGGGAAUUUUCCGCAAUGGGCGCAAGCCUGACGGAGCAAUACCGCGUGGAGGAUGACGGCCUAUGGGUUGUAAACUCCUUUUCUUUGAGAAGAAGUCCUGACGGUAUCAAAGGAAUAAGCAUCGGCUAACUCCGUGCCAGCAGCCGCGGUAAGACGGAGGAUGCAAGUGUUAUCCGGAAUUAUUGGGCGUAAAGCGUUUGUAGGUGGAGAAAUAAGUCUAUUGUUAAAUCCAGGAGCUUAACUUCUGUCCAGCGAUAUGAAACUAUUUUUCUUGAGGGUGGUAGGGGUAGAAGGAAUUCCUAGUGUAGCGGUGAAAUGCGUAGAUAUUAGGAAGAACACCAAAGGCGAAGGCAUUCUACUGGGCCAAUCCUGACACUGAGAGACGAAAGCUAGGGGAGCGAAUGGGAUUAGAUACCCCAGUAGUCCUAGCCGUAAACGAUGGAUACUAGGGGAUACGCGAAUCGACUCGCGUAUGCUCGCAGUUCACACAGUAAGUAUCCCGCCUGGGGAGUACGCUCGCAAGGGUGAAACUCAAAGGAAUUGACGGGGGCCCGCACAAGCGGUGGAGCAUGUGGUUUAAUUUGAUGCAACGCGAAGAACCUUACCAGGACUUGACAUACCAUAGACGUUUUUAUGAGAAUAAUUAUUUCCUUCGGGACUAUGGAUACAGGUGGUGCAUGGCUGUCGUCAGCUCGUGUCGUGAGAUGUUGGGUUAAGUCCCGCAACGAGCGCAACCCUUGUCUUUUGUUACCCCUAUCGAGAGAUAGGGGGAAUCGAAAGAGACUGCCGGUCAUAAACCGGAGGAAGGUGAGGAUGACGUCAAGUCAGCAUGCCCCUUACGUUCUGGGCCACACACGUGCUACAAUGGGUAAGACAAUAAGUAGCUAACCUGCGAAGGUACGCAAAUCUAAGAAACUUAUCCUCAGUUCGGAUUGGAGGCUGCAACUCGCCUCCAUGAAGUCGGAAUCGCUAGUAAUCGCGGGUCAGCCAUACCGCGGUGAAUACGUUCCCGGGCCUUGUACACACCGCCCGUCACACCAUGGAAGUUGGCUAUGCCCGAAGUCAUUACCCCAACCUCGGAGGGGGAUGCCUAAGGCAGAGUUAGUAACUAGGGUGAAGUCGUAACAAGGUAGCCGUACUGGAAGGUGCGGCUGGAUCACCUCCUUA
rnacentral:rRNA from 1 species